rnacentral:rRNA from 1 species
AGUGAACGCUGGCGGUAGGCCUAACACAUGCAAGUCGAACGGCAGCACAGUAAGAGCUUGCUCUUACGGGUGGCGAGUGGCGGACGGGUGAGGAAUACAUCGGAAUCUACUUUUUCGUGGGGGAUAACGUAGGGAAACUUACGCUAAUACCGCAUACGACCUACGGGUGAAAGCAGGGGAUCUUCGGACCUUGCGCGAUUGAAUGAGCCGAUGUCGGUUUAGCUAGUUGGCGGGGUAAAGGCCCACCAAGGCGACGAUCCGUAGCCGGUCUGAGAGGAUGGUCGGCCACACUGGAACUGAGACACGGUCCAGACUCCUACGGGAGGCAGCAGUGGGGAAUAUUGGACAAUGGGCGCAAGCCUGAUCCAGCCAGACCGAGUGGGUGAAGAAGGCCUUCGGGUUGUAAAGCCCUUUUGUUGGGAAAGAAAAGCAGCAGGUUAAUACCCCGCUGUUCUGACGGUACCCAAAGAAUAAGCACCGGCUAACUUCGUG